GCAGCAGAGCUGCCCACUGGAUGUGUGCUGAAUGCCCAUCUUACUUGUGCCUGGCCCUGGGGCUCAGCCAGCCACCGUAAGUCAUCAACGGAGCAUGUUUUCCUUCUGGUACUGAUUGCUCAGAAGCUCAGAGGCUACUGCCCUUUUCGGAACACUGGCCGACUGGAGAUCCACAAUCAAUUAAUCCAUUUUAAUCAUAUUUAUGAUUUAUAAUGUAUUUUUACACACAUUAGCCUUUUUUGAUCUUCCUAGCAAUUGUCUAGUUAAACAUUCUUCUCAUUUUAUAGAUGGGCAAACUGAGGCUCAGGAAGACUGAGUUAGUAAGGUUCCAGAGCCAGGCUCAAACUCAGGUUUUGUAUAAAUUUCUUGUUCUUCCCAUAACAAGUGGUUGCCAACUAGAGUGCAAUCACAUCAGAAUCAUCAGAAUUUUGAAUGUCAUGAAGAUAUUGUAAAAGCAAAAAAAUAAAGAAUCAUUUGGGGUGCUUUAAGGUUCCUGGGGUCUACCCCAGACCUAAUGAAUAUAGAUGGCCCAGUGGAAGGGACUGUAUGAGUUUGUAUUUCAACAGGUGCCUUGUGUGAUUCUGAUGAGCUGCUGGUGGAUGGACAAGUCCAAUGCCCAUGCUUCUUCUUGGUUGAUUAAGUACCUGCUGUACCCUCAGCCCUGUGCUAAGUACUACAAGGCAGGCAUAUAUCGCCUUUAGCUCUCAAAGAGCUAAGUGAAUAAGAAGCUGGGAAGUGAGUAGGAGCUAGGAGGUAAGACUAAACAAGUGAAAAAGAGUGAGCCAAAGAAGGCACUGUUUGGCUUUGAAGGAAGUCAGAGCAGGCAAGAUCACAGAUGGCAGGAAUAGAAAGGAAGGCCAUGUCAUGGAGAAGGGAAAAUUCCAGUAGGUCUUGCAAAAUGGGAAGGAUUUCCAGGUAGAGAAGGGGUAAGUGGAAUGAAAUAUCUUCAAGAGAGAUACUGAACAGAUUGUCUGGCAAGAAUAAAGGGAAUAGCAGGACUUGAACAAGAGAGAAUGGGGCC
rnacentral:lncRNA from 10 species